GAGUUUGAUCCUGGCUCAGAUUGAACGCUGGCGGCAUGCCUUACACAUGCAAGUCGAACGGCAGCACGGGUGCUUGCACCUGGUGGCGAGUGGCGAACGGGUGAGUAAUACAUCGGAACAUGUCCUGUAGUGGGGGAUAGCCCGGCGAAAGCCGGAUUAAUACCGCAUACGAUCUGAGGAUGAAAGCGGGGGACCUUCGGGCCUCGCGCUAUAGGGUUGGCCGAUGGCUGAUUAGCUAGUUGGUGGGGUAAAGGCCUACCAAGGCGACGAUCAGUAGCUGGUCUGAGAGGACGACCAGCCACACUGGGACUGAGACACGGCCCAGACUCCUACGGGAGGCAGCAGUGGGGAAUUUUGGACAAUGGGCGAAAGCCUGAUCCAGCAAUGCCGCGUGUGUGAAGAAGGCCUUCGGGUUGUAAAGCACUUUUGUCCGGAAAGAAAUCCUUGGUUCUAAUAUAGCCGGGGGAUGACGGUACCGGAAGAAUAAGCACCGGCUAACUACGUGCCAGCAGCCGCGGUAAUACGUAGGGUGCAAGCGUUAAUCGGAAUUACUGGGCGUAAAGCGUGCGCAGGCGGUUUGCUAAGACCGAUGUGAAAUCCCCGGGCUCAACCUGGGAACUGCAUUGGUGACUGGCAGCUAGAGUAUGGCAGAGGGGGUAGAAUUCCACGUGUAACAGUGAAAUGCGUAGAGAUGUGGAGGAAUACCGAUGGCGAAG
rnacentral:rRNA from 1 species